rnacentral:rRNA from 1 species
GUGCCAGCCGCCGCGGUAAUACAGAGGGUGCAAGCGUUAAUCGGAAUUACUGGGCGUAAAGCGCGCGUAGGUGGUUUGUUAAGUUGGAUGUGAAAUCCCCGGGCUCAACCUGGGAACUGCAUUCAAAACUGACUGACUAGAGUAUGGUAGAGGGUGGUGGAAUUUCCUGUGUAGCGGUGAAAUGCGUAGAUAUAGGAAGGAACACCAGUGGCGAAGGCGACCACCUGGACUGAUACUGACACUGAGGUGCGAAAGCGUGGGGAGCAAACAGGAUUAGAUACCCGGGUAGUCC